rnacentral:rRNA from 1 species
AUUGAACGCUGGCGGCAGGCCUAACACAUGCAAGUCGAGCGGGGCGACGGACGGGUGAGUAAGGCAUAGGAAGGUGACUGGUCGUGGGGGAGAACGUCCGGAUACGGGCGCUAAUACAGCAUACUAACAGAUGAACCUAGGUGGGAUUAGCUAGUUGGUGGGGUAAAGGCCUACAAAGGCGACGAUCCGUACCUGGUCUGAUAGGAGGAUCAGUCACACUGGAACUGAUACACGGUCCAGACUCCGACGGGAGGCAGCAGUGGGGAAUAUUGGACAAUGGGCGAAAGCCUGAUCCAGCCAUGCCGCGUGUGUGAAGAAGGUCUUCGGAUUGUAAAGCACUUUAAGUGGGGAGGCGUUACCAACAGAAUAAGCACCGGCUAACUUCGUGCCAGCAGCCGCGGUAAUUC